GGAAAACGGCUGGCAGAGACCUAUCAAAAGGGACGAGGGAAGGGAAAGAGAAAAAAGCCCCACCCCGUACCCACCCAGCGACACCUGGGGUAGCGCCACAAGUGCCAGUAGCCCCAGGAAACGCCGAAGCUGCAGACGCUCCCGCGAAAACCGUUGCAUGGCGCUGAACUGCGGACAUGAAGCGACCCCCACUGCGCAUGCGGCAGAUCAAACAUAUCCACAGACAACCACAUAGCUGCAUGACAUACUUCCUGCAGGGGAAUUCCACCUCUAAAUGCAGCCAAAGAAGCCUGAGCCCUCAUCAAAUGAGCAUGUAUCUCCAGAGGACAUGGCACCUUUGCCAAUUUACAGCACACCUUUGUAAUGGACACUAUCCACCUGGACAAAGUCUGAGUAAAUGCUUUCCUCCCCUUUGAAGGAUCCACAUUUGACACAAGUAAAGUCAUAUUUUUCCCAGGUGCCUUGAUUCUUUGUAAAUAAAACAGCAAUGCCUUCCUAA